rnacentral:misc_RNA from 1 species
GAUGAAGAACGUAGCGAAAUGCGAUAAGUAAUGUGAAUUGCAGAAUUCAGUGAAUCAUCGAAUCUUUGAACGCACCUUGCGCCCUUUGGCCAUUCCGAAGGGCAUGCCUGUUUGAGUAUCAUGAACACCUCAACUCUCAUGGCUCGCCAUGAUGAGCUUGGAUUAGGGGGUCUUGCUGGCCUGUGGUCGGCUCCUCUCAAAUGGAUCAGCUUGCCAGUGUUUGGUGGCAUCACAGGUGUGAUAACUAUCUGCGCUUGUGGUUUUCCAUCAGAUAACCUUCAGUGAUGGAGGUUCGCUGGAGCUCAUAAACGUCUCCCCUAAGCGGGGACAGCCCUUUGAAUGUUUGAUCUCAAAUCAGGUAGGACUACCCGCUGAACUUAAGCAUAUCAAUAAGCGGAGGA